UAUUCAUCACUCUCUUGUCAAGUACAUCAUGGGCGAAAUCGGAAAACAAUUUACCAGUGCUGUGCCCUUCUGUCGCCAACGGAAUAUUCGGCGAUUUGCUUCAACAUUACGGCUGUUACCUGCCAGGUUUAGAUGUCUUUGAGG